CUUUUGUGGUACUUUUGGACUGUCUCCCUCACACAUGAACAAAAUCAGUUUCUUUCAAACUAGUGAGUAGUGUGUGGUUCUCUUUUAAUGUUAUCCCUAUCUACAAUGAGCAAACUACUCUCUACCAUCUCAUCCCACAAGAUUAAAAAUAGCUCAUACAAAAGCUCAUCAGUUAGUUUGCUCAAAAAAAAAAAAAGUUAAUCUGUUGGUCAUUUCUUCAGUAUCAUCUUCAGUAUCAUGACCAAUGAAACCCCCGCCAUCCUGAUCCAAGCUAAAGCUUUCGAGCCUGCUCUUCCAAGAUAAGGUUUAGAAACUUCAAGCAGCCAUUUAGACUGACUAAGAUCACCUGCAAUGUAAAGCCUGCCAAACUGCAACUCGGAGAGCCUCGUGGAAGUACUUGCAGACGAGAGUUGGCUCCUGAUUUUGUAUGAGAAGGUAUGCAAGACUACCUCGAUAAAGCUCACAAGGUUUCUGCCUAGGAGAGAAUCUAAGUCCGUGCUUACCUAAGCCACAAACCAGGUUAUUUGAUCAAAAACUCUAUUAAUAUUAAAUUGUGUAACAUAUAACACAAACCUUUCAAAAAAAACAAAGGACACAAAAAAGGUAGCCUAGUUGGUUUAUAGAGAUUAUUAUUCGACUCACCUUAUACUAGUUUCUUGGUUCACUCCUGUUUCUAGCGUGAUCCUCGUAGUUCGAACCCUAUGGUAUGAUUCAAAACUUGAUGCUGCAGUUAGUUUCUUCAACAGUGAGGAUAUGUUACCAUUUGUUCUUCUGGAUGCAGGUCAGCCACAUGCUUGAUUUACAUUUCUGUAAACACUCUGUAGGCAAAGGAAAAUUACAGUAAAAUUUGGGUCACUUAUAACAACCAAAAGUUUCGACAAUAAUGGUAAUCCUCCAUUAGAAAGAGCAUAAAAUCAAAUUCAUAAACCACAAAGAACAGAAGCAUUCUUAACAGAUGUUGCAUAUAAACACUGUUAUAAUGACGGAGCAUAACAAUCAUAACUACAGUUAGCCUUCUCAAAAUUAUCACAUACACAGAGGAAGAGCAUAGAUGUAUUUCCUACAAUCCAACCCUAUUUAUUCACUUGAAGUAGCAUCUCAAAUGGCAAUUAAACGAUUCAUAAACCCAGUUAUUUUUUUUUCAAUCCAGGAAACUUAACUAAACUCAGGCAUAGACCGAAUAACAAGAGUAUGUUAGUAUCCCAGAGUCAUCAUGUUGCUCUCACAUAGUGACAUAGGUUCCAUCUAUCACAAGAAAAACUUAAGACGAUGCAAUAGUCCACCAGAGAAACGAAGAGUGUAGAAGAAAUCAAUCUUAGAAACUGUCAACACAAGUCACAAAGAUAAAGCCACAAUGGGGGUCAACAUUCUAUACAAUACAACUGUUUUUAUGGUUUCAUUCGACAUCAGGAUUCAUUGAAAAACGACACCCAAGGAUGAGAACAAGGAAUCGAACUGAAAGCAAGGAUAACUAGACAAGUAGCUGACAUCA